CCAGCGGGAGAUCUGCCCGCCCCCAACCCCCUGCCCUUCUCUGCUCCCACCACACCUCCUUCCUCCUCACCCCCCACCGCCACGUCACCUGAGAGAUCCCAGAAAUUCCUGCACUUUCCUGCGUGGCUGUGUGUGAGGGAGGGAAAAAAAUUGAGCACUACUGAUUGAUGCCUGUGGAAAAGGUGUGCAAUGUGUAACACCUGUGGACCUCUCACGUCCUGAAGAGGCCCUGGACAGGCCAGUUCGGUGGUGCAAUGGAUGGAACACUGGGCUUGGAGCCAGGAAGAUCUGGGUUCAGUUCUGAGCCUAGGUACUUACUA